rnacentral:rRNA from 1 species
UACGUAGGGGGCAAGCGUUGCCCGGAAUUAUUGGGCGUAAAGAGCGCGUAGGCGGUCCGAUAAGUCGGCUGUGAAAGUCCAGGGCUCAACCCUGGAAAGCCGGCCGAUACUGUCGGACUAGAGUCCGGAAGAGGCAAGUGGAAUUCCUGGUGUAGCGGUGAAAUGCGCAGAUAUCAGGAGGAACACCAAUGGCGAAGGCAGCUCGCUGGGACGGUACUGACGCUGAGGCGCGAAGGCCAGGGGAGCAAACGGG